rnacentral:lncRNA from 10 species
GCCCCUCCCCCAGCCUCAUUACUGCCUUGCAGUUUGAUCUCAGACUGCUGUGCUAGCAAUCAGCGAGACUCCCUGGGCGUAGGACCCUCCGAGCCAGGUGUGGGAAAUAAUCUCCUGGUGCACCGUUUCCUAAGCCCGUCGGAAAAGCGCAGUAUUUGGGUGGGAGUGGCCCGAUUUUCCAGGUGCCCUCCUUUCCUUGACCAGGAAAGGGAACUCCCUGACCCCUUACGCUUCCCAAGUGAGGCAAUGCCUCGCCCUGCUUCGGCUGGCGCACGGUGCCCUGCACCCACUGUCUGGCACUCCCUAGUGAGAUGAACCCGGUACCUCAGAUGGAAAUGCAGAAAUCACCCAUCUUCUGCGUGGCUCAUGCUGGGAGCUGUAGACCAGAGCUGUUCCUAUUCAGCCAUCUUGGCUCCCGGAUCCAGUUUAACUUUUGCAGAGUGAACCUGAGGAAUACCACAAAUGUGAGCAUGGCUGGAUCUUUUGAAUUAAAAUCCACACUGGGAAAGAAAUAGACCUUGAACAUCUUGCCAAAGGCAAACCACUUCAAUAGAACAUGGCUGGCGGCCAUAUGGACAUAUUUGAAUCCAACAAUUAAUUCAGCAAAGAAAGCUGCUUGUGGCAAGUUUUGAAUGUGCCAUUCCAGGUAGUGCUUUGAUGAUAAAUGAGGAGAAGAUUGCAAAGAAAAUGACAGCAACAUUUAUAAAAGGAUUCCUCUUAGGACUCUAGAUGCACGGAGAGUGGCCAGAUUAAUACAGACUGGCAAAAGAAGAACUUGGCAAAGUGAUUUGAUCACACACUUCUCACCCUCACAUCUCCUGACAGUUCCCCUAAUCCCUGCCCCACUUCCCCGCCAUGGGCUUCCAUCAGGAAACUCCUUGAUAUCAUCUUCGAGAAGAAAACUGAGGCAUAGAACAUUUGGGAAUGAAUCUAAGACUACACAUCUAGAAUAGCAGAGUUCUGGAGGCAAGAAAUAAUCAGAUUGCUGGGCCAAAAUCCGGGUAUCCAGAGCCACACUACUUCCAGAGGUCCUAGAGGAGAAUCCAUCCAUUCCUUGAACUCAGAAUUCAAGACGGGAACUCCUAGGCUUGUGACCACAUCACUCCAGUCUUCAAGUACAGCAUCUUCAAACUUGUUCUGCCUUCAGUGUGUUUGUGUGUGUGUGUGUGUGUGUGUGUGUGUGUUUAUAAAAUCUCUCUCUGCCUUCAUUUAUAAGGAUAUAGGUUAUGGCAUUUAGGGGCCACCUGAAUAAUCCAACAUAACCUUCCCAUCUCAAGAUCCUUAGUUUAAUCACACCUGCAAAGACUCUUUUCCCAAAUAAGGUAGCAUUUACAGAUUCUCAGGACCUGAUAUCUUUUGAGGCCUAAGAUCUUUUUGAGGACAGCCCACCACACCUGGGCACAAUGUACAGUGAAUAUAGUUCCCUUAUGACUUAAUGGAGCAAAGCAGUCAUGCAAGCCUUGGAAAUCCUUACUUUGAGAUACUAGGUUGAAGAGAAAUAAACAUAUUUUAAGCCACUGUUACUCUGGGCCUUGUUGAGUUCAAUCAUAAUGAAUCCUAACUGAUAACAGUGAAUAACUGUGAAUAUUUUUAAUUGAAAUAUUACAUUUACCGAAAUGGAGUUGCACAAACUCUAAUGUUAUGUUUCUUUGCUUUGGACUGGAAUUUUAUUGCCUAAUUGGGUAACCCUGGUUAUUUCAUGUUGAAAUACUCUCUGAUACACAGUGGAAAUAAAAUGUAUAACUUUAAAAUAAAGUUUGGUAGAUAGUUUAAAAACUUGAAGUGCCUAGAGAAUACAAAAAUUAAUAUUUAAAAAUCUGAUUGUGGAACUGUUUAGAACCACUGCUCUACAUGAAAGCACAUUAAAUGACUGAACAGUUAUCCUCUUUACCUACUACAUUUUCUCCUAAAGCCUGGUAAGGAGCAAAUUGCAACAGCCUAGACUGAGUCACAAAGACAUGGAUGUUCACAAGAAAACAUGUGCUAAACAAAUACCAUAUUUGGUAAGUACAAGUGGUUAGCAACUGAAAAGCCUUGCUUUGUAAAUAGAAAAUUCCCUCUUUAACCUAAUGGUAAAAGCUGGCAUUUAUUCUGACAUGUUUGUCCAACAGUAAAUUAACAAAAGAGUGGCACUUCUAAUUCUACAAAAUUAAUCCCCAACAAGCUUCCCUGGAUAUCUUCGAGGAUCAGAUACUAUUGGAGAUAACAAACUUAAAAGGUGUUAGAAGAUUGGAACUGUGAAAGACAGCCUCAGCAACCUGUGGAAUUCCAAUGAACAUUUGUGUUUGGUCAUUGCCAUGUAUGUUCUAUUAUUAAGUAACUGUUGGGUAACAUGUCUCAGGCCAAAAUAAACAGUAUUACCUGAUAGAUGUAUGCACUAAACAUUAAUAUAUUAUAAUGAACAGAGCUACAUUGCUGCCCAAAUGAUCAUAUACAGAUCAUACAACAGUGUAAUCUGUUUAUCACGAUACCAAAUAUCUUACGUUCUGGCUUUUUCUAUAGAGUAUCAUCAGUUAACAUUCAGAAUUAAUGCGCCCCAUCCAGCCAGCUGCCCAAGCCAGAGGGUUUUUUCCCAGUCAACCCAUAAACACCUAGUGGAGAAGUCUUAGCUAUUUAAUAUCUCCAUCCAUGUGUCUCCAUCCCCAUUGUUACCACUUAGGUCAACUCUUGAAUUCACAUUUCUCAUUCAGGUUCCAUUAAGCUCCUAAGCGAGCUCCACACACCCACUGAUGCCUCUUUAAUACAUUCUCCACUCUGCAUCCAGAGGCAUCUUCUAAUAGUAUAAAUAUGUCAUUGUUCUGCUGAAAACCGUUUGAUGAUCCACUAUAUUCUUCAAGGCUAUUCAUAAUCUGGCAAUACAGUGGAGCCAUCAAGAACUUGGGCCCUAAAGCCAGACAGUCUAGGUACAAAUCUUGGCUCUAACACCAGAUGUGGUUCUGGGAAUUCACUUUAUGUCCCUGCUUCUCAAUUUUUCCUUCUGUAAAAUAAUUAAUGUAAUAUUAGUGUUGCAUUAAUAUGGUUGGGAUUAAAAGAGGUAAUGCUUAUAAAGCCCUUAGUCCAGUGUCUGGCACACACAUAGUACACAUUCCAUAAAAAUAAUCUGUUAUCAUGUCUUGAGUUCUGUGUUCUCUACAGUUAAAACAAACUGCUGGCACUCUCUGAAGACAUUAUUCUGCCUCUGGAUGCUAUCUUUACAUGUGCUGCUUCCUCAGGCAGGAAACCAGUCUUCUCCCAUGGCCCCAACACCACUUUCUCUAGUUGAUUCCCACAUUUAACCUUUAAAAAAUCAUGGAGAUUGAAUGUCCUCCUAAAAGCCUUUCCUCACUUUCUGCCAUCUAGGUUUAAUUCAUAUACUCAUGGAGUAGUCCAUACAUAACACUACUCUAGGGCCUUAUAGAUUAUAUUGCAAUUGUCUGCCUAAUGGCCUAUAACCCCACGUGGGUUAUAAGCUCUUUGGAGGUCAACAAUAUAACUAUUUGUCUCUGUAUCAUUAGUUCAUUUUUUGUUUUUUUGAGAAACAGUCUCACUUUGUCUAGGAGGCUGGAGUGUAGUGGUGAUCUCAGCUCACUGCAACCUCUACUUCCUGGGUUCAAGCAAUUCUCUGCCUCAGCCUCCCAAGUAGCUGGGCCUACAGGCAUGCACAACCAUGCCUGGCUGAUUUUUGUAUCUUUUAUAGAGAUGGGGUUUCAAUGUGUUGGCAAGGCUGGUCUCCAACUCCUGGUUUCAAGUUAUCCACCGGCCUCUGCCUCCCAAAGUGCUGGGAUUACGGGCAUGAGCCACCACGCCCAGCCUCAUUAGCUCACUUUUGCACUGCUAUAAAGAAAUACCUGAAACUGGGUAAUUUAUGAAGAAAAGAGGUUUAAUUGGCUCAUGGUUCUGCAGGCUGUACAGGAAGCAUGGCUGGGGAAGCCUCAGGAAACUUACAAUCAUGGAGGAAGGUGAAGGGGAAGCAGGCAUCUCUUCAUAUAGGCAGUGCAGGAGCAACAAAGGUGGAGGGAGGUGCUACAUACUUUUAAACAACCAGAUCUUGAAAUAACUCAUUCACUAUCACCAGAACAGCACCAAAGAGGAAACCUGCUCCCAUGAGCCAAUCACCUCCCAUCAAGCCCCAUCUCCCACAUUGGGGUUUACAAUUUAACAUGAGAUUUGACAGGGACACAGACCCAAACCAUAUCACACAGUGACUGAAGAUAAGCAAAGGAGAAGUAGCAGGAAUAAAGAUUCUGUAGACUUAGAUGAAUCUGAGAAAAAGAAGACUGUCUAAGGGUCUCAAUCAUCAAGUGCAUGGUCAUAUGCGAGUACUUAGAACUGUAUCUUUUUCUCACCAGAUAAAAUCCAAACUAAUUAUAUUCAAAUGUAGAAUAUGAAACCAUACUAGUACAAGAAGAAAACAUGGGCUAACUCCUUUAUGGCCUGAGAAAGGGGACAACAUUCACAAUUAUGAUUCAAAAUCUAGAAUCAGUAAGGGAA